UGGUAGCUACAAUAUACGGCUGGAAUAAAUAAAAUUAAAGACUUACAGGUAGCCAGAGAACAAAGUAACUGUUAUAAAAAUUUCUCCAAAAAACAAACUGAUUUUAUCUACUGUGUAGA